CACACAGUUAGAAUGUCAUCUACAUAUCUGAUAAAUUUAACAAGCUGAGGCUGGAACUUUGGUACAACUUUGCUCUCAAUUUUCCUGAGUAUCAUUUCUGCCAAGGGUGCUAGUGGACUCGCUAUAGGCACGCCCCUUGUCUGCUGGUAGUAUACUCCUCGGAACAUAUAAUAUGAAUUGUAACAAAGCAUGUGUGAAAUGUCUCUUAACAGGCUUUCUCUCCCUUAUACAAAUGAGAGGUUUUCAAGCAUGAAUCUAUAUAAAACCAGACAAGCUGGUUCCAACCUCAGCGAGGGGUAUAGGUUGUCAUAAUCAAAUACCGUCAUAAGGUAGUUUUCUUGCCAGUCAAUAGUUCUUAUUCUGCCUAGGGCUUCCUCUGCAAUGGUUGUAGAGCUAUCACUGUGUCCUAAUAUUGUCGUGCACCAUCUUGCUAUCGUUUGAUGCACCAUCUUGCUAUCGUUCAUUCUAGAUUGAAGGUAGGAGCAUUUUGUUUCUCAACAAUGGGGCAGGGCUUCACUGGCUGUUUGUGUGUCUUCAUGUAUGCAAAGAGACGUGGGCAUACUGGCACUUGGAUUUUCUUGUGCAUCCACUCCUGGGGAAAUAGUGGGUUGGCAGUUAUUUUAUCUAUGGUGGCCUUCAGCUGGUGCAUUGGGUCUUUGUUUAACACCUUUGGUUAUGCUGCAGCUAUGUAUUCCAAAAUUAUGCUGCAGCUAUGUAUUCCAAAAGAUGAUCAUCAUAGGCAUCUUCUUUCAUUAACA
rnacentral:lncRNA from 1 species